rnacentral:rRNA from 1 species
AUUGAACGCUGGCGGCAUGCCUUACACAUGCAAGUCGAACGGUAACGCGGGGCAACCUGGCGACGAGUGGCGAACGGGUGAGUAAUAUAUCGGAACGUGCCCAAUAGUGGGGGAUAGCCCGGCGAAAGCCGGAUUAAUACCGCAUGAGACCUGAGGGUGAAAGCGGGGGACUCGCAAGAGCCUCGCGCUAUUGGAGCGGCCGAUAUCAGAUUAGGUAGUUGGUGGGGUAAAAGCCUACCAAGCCGACGAUCUGUAGCUGGUCUGAGAGGACGACCAGCCACACUGGGACUGAGACACGGCCCAGACUCCUACGGGUGGCAG